GUGUAUAUAUAAAUAUAUAUGCAUGUGUGUGUAUUUAUUUAUUUUUUCUGUUUUCAAUUAGUGCACAUGUCUCUGAGGCGUAAAUUCAAGUGGGAGCGUGCACCUCUGGUUGACAACAGUGAAGUGAGAGGUAGUAAGGAGAAGUUUGGCCACAAAAAAUCAAACCAACUUGUAAAAACAGCGAGGACCAGUCAGAGAAAUGUGUCGAAGGUCAGUGAUGCCCAACUUGGUGCAUUGGUAAUAAAUGAGGCUUAGUUAAGUUGUAGUCACUGUUAGUUGGUUAAUGUCUGUUCUUUUUAACAGUUUUGUAGCUAUAAGGUUGGUCAAGUCAGUUCAAUCAGUUGGUAGAAGAUUGAUUCACCCAAUGGAAUUACACAAGACAAUUUAGUUUUAUGUCAGAUGUGUUUGUAAGUGUAUCUCUCUCUAUCUCAAUUCCCAUAAAGGCACCAAGUGUUCUGGGUGAGGAUCCAUCCUCCAUUGAGGCUCAUGUGAAUGUCUUGCAUAGCCAGCACCAGAAGAUGCAACCUGACUUGAGGAUUGUACGGGACCGUAUGCAGCAGACGUUUGCAUGGCGGCAAAAGGAGAUUGCUGAUGGAAUGACUGUAGAGGACGCACUUAAGAAGUACCCUUUCUUAAGGACACCCACCGGGUUGUGUGAUGAGUUGGAACGUAUCCAUCCAGCAACAGGGAACUUGUGUCAGCAAUUCAGUGAAGGCUUCAAAUGUAUUGUACCGAAGGUGCUUCACCUAGCUCAAAGGAAAUGCCCACUAUUCAAGUUUUACCUGGAGACAAAAGAAGCUCUUAUUGAGGAUCUUCCAGAUAUUGACUUUAGGGCAGCCCUCAUCUUUCUGCCUUACAUCUUCAAGGAGAACAUUGAUCGCUUUAUUACACUUGGAGAGGUAUGUCUUGCUUGCUAAAAUCUCUUUUGUUCACCUCCAUAACACCAAAUACACUUGACAAACGUACUGAUAG
rnacentral:lncRNA from 1 species